rnacentral:rRNA from 1 species
CCUACGGGACGCAGCAGUGAGGAAUCUUGGUCAAUGGGCGCGAGCCUGAACCAGCCAAGUAGCGUGGAGGAUGACUGCCCUACGGGUUGUAAACUUCUUUUAUAAAGGAAUAAAGUGAUGCACGUGUGCCUUUUUGUAUGUACUUUAUGAAUAAGGAUCGGCUAACUCCGUGCCAGCAGCCGCGGUACUACGGUGGGUCCGAGCGUUAUCCGGAUUUCUUGGGUUUAAAGGGAGCGUAGAUGG